GCACUGAUGAAGAGUCCCAUAAUAGGACGAAACGGUCGUCUAGUGC
rnacentral:hammerhead_ribozyme from 1 species